rnacentral:rRNA from 1 species
GCGACCCCAGGUCAAGCGGGAUUA